rnacentral:lncRNA from 1 species
AUAAAGUUGGGCUGCUUAAAAUUUUGAGUUAAAGGCGCGUAAGAGAUUGUCAAACUCUUUCUCAACUGCUCGAAUAUAUAAGAAGCCUGAUUGGUGUUUCCUACAUUUAUGGGAGGAUUUAUUGAGACAAUGGGCAACUGAAAAAUUUCAAAAGAAAGUGAACAAAGAAAGAAAUCGCGGCAUCUGAGAAGGGUGGCUUCCUUAAACAGUAGGGGUGGUGUCAGCACGAAUCGAUUAGGAGACGCUUGGUAAUUUCGUAAAGCCUUGCAAUAAUUUUUUGUAAUUAUAUUUAAUUUAAUUAAAUUUAUAUAAAAUAUUUUAUUUCAUUUGAAGGAAAAAAUAUGGGAGCAAAAUAAAUCACAAGAAGUUAUUUCUGAAGACCCACAUUCGCAAGAAGAAGAACGCCUCAGAUCCAGAUAAGUGAUAUAUUGCCCGCAUUACUCAAUGAAUUCAUUGCCCACAUUGCUCAAUGAAUUCA